CAAUAGCGUAUAUUUAAGUUGUUGCAGUUAAAAAGCUCGUAGUUGGAUUUCGGAUGGGACUUGCCGGUCCGUCGUUUCGAUGUGCACUGGCCAGUCCUAUCUUGUUAUCGGGGACUAGCUCCUGGGCUUCACUGUCCGGGACUAGGAGCUGACGAGGUUACUUUGAGUAAAUUAGAGUGUUCAAAGCAAGCCUACGCUCUGAAUACAUUAGCAUGGAAUAACACGAUAGGACUCUGGCUUAUCUUGUUGGUCUGUGAGACCAGAGUAAUGAUUAAGAGGGACAGUCGGGGGCAUUCGUAUUUCAUUGUCAGAGGUGAAAUUCUUGGAUUUAUGAAAGACGAACUUCUGCGAAAGCAUUUGUCAAGGAUGUUUUCAUUA
rnacentral:rRNA from 1 species